CGGAUGCAAUGGAAGGUUGGCGUUGGGCCGUCUUGUCUAAGUAAUUAGCCUUGAUUAUAAAUACACUAUAUGCUGGAAAGACCUUGAGGGUUAAUCAGCCGGUAACAAAGCUGGGAGUUAGAGACACCACUUAAUAGAUUGGUCUAUAGGGUGGUUGGGUUUAUACCCCUCUUCGCUGUUGGUACCUCAGAGACUUUAUGUGAAUCCACUUCGGAUCUCAUGAGAAAAUUUGUUUUCUUGAUGAUCAUUGAAACAAUCCAUAUAAUUUUAAAAAUUUUAAUAAUAGUUAUCCCGUUACUUGUAGCAGUGGCUUAUUUAACUUUAGCUGAACGGAAGGUUUUAGGUUAUAUGCAAGCUAGGAAAGGGCCCAAUGUAGUAGGUGUUUAUGGGCUGUUACAACCUCUUGCUGAUGGUAUAAAACUAUUUACUAAAGAGUUAGUGAUUCCUCACUAUGCUAAUUUGUUUAUUUAUGUGGCGGCCCCCGUCCUUUCAUUCACUUUAGCCUUAAUUGCUUGGGGUGUUAUUCCUUAUGAUAAAGGAGUUGUAAUAAGUGAUUUGAAAAUAGGAAUUUUGUUUACGUUGGCCGUGUCUUCCAUUAGUGUUUAUGCUAUUUUGAUGUCCGGUUGGGCGAGUCAGUCUAAGUAUGCUUUCUUAGGGGCUAUUAGAGCGGCGGCUCAGAUGAUUAGUUAUGAAGUUUCGAUUGGACUAAUAAUAAUCACGGUCAUCUUAUGCGUGGGUUCUUUGAAUAUUACUGAAAUAGUUUUAGCUCAAAGUAGUGGGAUCUGGUUUUUUUUCCCCCUGUUUCCCGUGGCCAUGAUGUUUUUUGCUUCGGCGUUAGCUGAGACUAAUCGAGCUCCUUUUGAUUUAACAGAGGGUGAGUCUGAGUUAGUGUCAGGUUAUAAUGUAGAGUAUGCUUCUAUGUCUUUUGCUUUAUUCUUUCUUGCGGAAUAUGCUCAUAUAAUAUUGAUGAGUUGUUUAACUACAAUUUUAUUUUUGGGAGGAUGGCUCUCUCCUAUUGUAUUUUUUAAAGGCGGGCCAGCUUGGUUUGGUUUAAAAACCUCUUUUAUAAUUUUACUUUUUAUUUGAGUAAGAGCCUCUUUUCCUAGAAUGCGGUACGAUCAAUUAAUGGCCUUAUUAUGGAAAUCUUACUUACCCUUAAGUUUGGCUUUUGUAGUUUUAGUGGCCAGCCUCUUAUUUGGGUUAAAUGGGCUACCCCCCAGCUAAUUGUGGAUGUAUACUGAGUUUUAUGGUAUUUUGGUUUUAUUAAUUUUCAGCGUAGUUCUUUCCGCGAUUAUUUCUGGCGCUUCUUAUAUUUUAGGAGAUAAACAGCCGGAUCGAGAGAAAGUGUCAGCUUAUGAGUGUGGGUUUGAUCCUUUUGGAACCCCAGGGCGACCCUUUUCUAUUCGGUUUUUCUUAAUUGGUAUCCUUUUUCUUAUUUUUGAUUUAGAAAUUUCUUUUCUUUUUCCUUGGUGUGUCGUAUGCAAUCAAGUUUUUCCUUUUGGUUAUUGGACCAUGAUCGUGUUUUUAGCCGUCCUAACUUUGGGUUUGGUCUAUGAAUGGUUAAAAGGUGGCUUAGAAUGAGAAUAGGCCCCUUCAUUGGUCCCUUUGGGUGAGCAAGUUAUAAAGUGGAAGAAAAAGUCCUAUCCGCUAUGAGAGUAGCGGCCCCACCAUUAAUGGUGGCGUAACAACUAUUUAAUACCAACUCCGGUA
rnacentral:ncRNA from 12 species